rnacentral:rRNA from 1 species
GACGAACGCUGGCGGCGUGCCUAAUACAUGCAAGUAGAACGCUGAAGAGAGGAGCUUGCUCUUCUUGGAUGAGUUGCGAACGGGUGAGUAACGCGUAGGUAACCUGCCUUGUAGCGGGGGAUAACUAUUGGAAACGAUAGCUAAUACCGCAUAACAAUAGGUGACACAUGUCAUUUAUUUGAAAGGGGCAAUUGCUCCACUACAAGAUGGACCUGCGUUGUAUUAGCUAGUAGGUGAGGUAACGGCUCACCUAGGCGACGAUACAUAGCCGACCUGAGAGGGUGAUCGGCCACACUGGGACUGAGACACGGCCCAGACUCCUACGGGAGGCAGCAGUAGGGAAUCUUCGGCAAUGGGGGCAAUCCUGACCGAGCAACGCCGCGUGAGUGAAGAAGGUUUUCGGAUCGUAAAGCUCUGUUGUAAGUCAAGAACGGGUGUGAGAGUGGAAAGUUCACACUGUGACGGUAGCUUACCAGAAAGGGACGGCUAACUACGUG